rnacentral:miRNA from 1 species
AGCACUGUCCCCAGAUGGUCCUG